rnacentral:rRNA from 1 species
AUUGAACGCUGGCGGCAGGCCUAACACAUGCAAGUCGAACGAGUGGCGGACGGGUGAGUAAUGUCUGGGAAACUGCCUGAUGGAGGGGGAUAACUAAUGGAAACGGUAGCUAAUACCGCAUACCCUCAGAUGUGCCCAGAUGGGAUGGGCUAGUAGGUGGGGUAACGGCUCACCAAGGCGACGAUCCCUAGCUGGUCUGCGAGGAUGACCGGCCACACGGGAACUGAGACACGGUCCAGACUCCUACGGGAGGAAGCAGUAGGGAAUAUUGCACAAUGGGCGCAAGCCGGAUGCAGCCAUGCCGCGUGUAUUAAGAAGGCCUUCGGGUUGUAAAGUACUUUCAGCGGGGAGGCGUUACCCGCAGAAGAAGCACCGGCUAACUCCGUGCCAGCAGCCGCGGUAAUAC